CGAACAAAACGAAGGCACACACGUAUUACAGAACGUCAGUGUUAAUUUCAGUAGCACUAGCGGUAGUAGCAGGGUAUCGAUCAGACACAAGAUGGCUGGUCUCUGUACUAUGCGUACCAGUGGCUGAUGAGCUGAUGCCAGCCCGAGUCAUUGACGCAGGCGUAGGCUUUGGCGAGCUGCCAGAUGUGGUGCUGCACGCCUGUGUGGGCAGGAGUAUACACCUUGCUCACCGCGCCAUGCCGCUGGCCUUUUGGGUUGGGCAAGCUGAGCUCGAUGGCGAUGGGCUUCAGCGUGUCAUCGUCUUUCAGGAACAGCAGCGUCCUGGUGGCGUAGAUGAAGUUGCCUUCCAGCUUGUUGAUCCGGUCCAGGUACGGCAUGAAGUGGUCGUGGUGGUCUAGGAUGAAGAGCCUGUUCUUCCUCAGUGCCUGCACAUAAUGGUUUGUGAUCAGAAUGUUUCAGUUAUGUAUGCUGUAUGCAUGCAAAUGGUGUUCAGUUGUUCAGUGGCGCGCAUACAUCGUGCACUGUCAGGCCUUCCAGGUUGUGCUGAAUGUGAGCCUCGGUUAUCUUGCUGGUAUGGUCACCAUACACUCUUGGAUCCAGAGUACUUGUAGCAGGGAACGUCUGCGAUCAUGAAAGACAAUUUUUAAUAAUGUUAGAAACAACGUUAAUUACUUUAUAGGAGAAGACGACGCAUCUGAAUCUGAAUCUGAUACAAGGGUCUAACCUCUAGUCGUCUGAUAACCACUGGGUUCACGCCUGCAAGCGUUUCCCGCGCAAACUCCUCAUCAGUCCUCCAGCCAUACUUAUCUUGUGGAGCCUUGUUUCGCGCGUCUAGAGUAGUACCAAGAAACCAUGCAAGAUUUAGGCGCAAUCAUGCAAACACUAGCUACCAGAUUGACACAAAAAAUUACCAAAAAAAACCAACCUGAUUGGAUGACAUGUGGAAGGGGCAUCUUCAGAGGGUCGUCGUGGCCACCAACCGGCAGAAGGCUUCUAAGGAACUCACUGGGGAUCUUCUUCCUGAUCUCAGCCAGUAUCGGGUGAUUCGGCGCUUCCGGACCAAGUUCAUAGAGCCUCAGGAUGUCUUCAAAGGAAUCGAACUCCUCCGGUACGCCGACGAUGUCGAAUUUUGUAUUUAUCAACGGAAGAACAGCCUCGACUACCGUCUUCAGAGAGUAGCCACGGAAGUCGUCCAUCUUGAGAUGCCCAAAUCGUUCGUCGCGAGGGACGUAGACGUCCAGGGCCAGGAUCUGCAGGAGAUUAAGCCUGCUCUCUGACUUGGGGUCUGAAUUAAUUAACAGAGGAGGAUUCUUACUUAAUUAGUCAAGUGUUUGGAUGCAUGUACGGUUUUCAAUUAAUAGUUUUAGAUGCACAAUGCGCACCGGUUUUGGUUGGGGCCCGGCCGGUUCUGCAGCGGCGGGGAUAUGGGUGAUCUGGGGUGCCACCAAGGACCGGACGUGCGUCGUCUUUGCUCUUGUCUGGGUCACCAAGGUCGUUGUAGUAGUCGUAGCGGUACACACGGUCGUGCUUCUUGUAUGGCCCAUGGUUGUUGUCGCCUCGGAGAAGUUUGAGUUCAUCUUGCCGGUAAGGCACCAACGGGGCAGGCAUUUUGCUGGGCAGAUACGUCUGCAGUAUAAUAUGACCAGGAUAUCUUAAGCAGCAGCAGCAGCAGCAGGAUGACAAAUGACGCAGAAAUACAUAAUUAAGCAUUGGGGGAAAACAAAGGGGCCGGGGCAGAAGGAAGGAAGGAAUCCGCCACUGACGUCGUUGGCAAAGAAGACGCGGUCUUGGGUGUAGCUCCUGUGGUUGUGGACCCAGGAGUUGGCGACGAAGACGACGGUGCCCUUGCCGGGGACGCCCUCCAGGGUGAGCGUCUUGAGGAACACCUCCUCGGUCUGGUGGUUCCUGACGAGGACGGCGCCGGGGAUCCCCUGCGACUCGUCCCACUCGAAGUUCACCCGGAACACCGUCUCCCCGUCCGUCCUGGACUUGAGCGACACCACCACCUCCUCCAGGUGCGCCGCCUUCCCAACCUUGCCUCGCCCCCCAUUGCCUGCGUUUCGCGUACGUGCGUGCCGUUUCGAAACAAAAAAAACCUUGUUAAAUGAACCGCGUAGAUAGGCGUGGCGUGGGAGGAGGAGCGGGAGGAGCCGAAGAGCAUACGGUGGUCGGCCUUGGUGGCGCUGACGAGCUGGAAGGUGAGGCCGGUGUCCUGGCCGAGGAUCUGGUGGAUGCCGUCGAGGAGCGACGCCUGGAAGUGGCCCAAGUCGAGCGCGUCCUUCUUCACCAGCACCACGGUGCCCCGGAUCCGGCCCUCGUUCCACGCCGCCUUGUUCUUCCCCGUCAGCCGGUCCGCGAACGCGUGAAGCAGCAUCCUGCCUGCUUGCCAAUGCGAUGUCCCAGCAAAAGCAAGCGGGGCUAUGGAAAUGGAACAACACUUUGGGCUGCUGUCUGUCUACUGGACUGCUUCUACUGCUGUUUGUCUGCUGACACGAGCUGGGAAGCCUGGGGCAGUGGGUCCUAAUUAUAGGCCGUCGUGGACUAGCAGCCACGCUCGCGUGCGGCACGCCGGCACGUGGUGGUACCGGGCCUCCACUGUUCACACACGGCACUGCAGCAGGGGACCAGGGGCUCACCGAGACAAGCAUAGCCAAAACAAAAGGUGCUCGGCAACGGGUGGCUCUCCCAAGAGCAACUCUUUUGAUAACUCUUUAUUCAGUUGGAAAAUUUUUUGGAUUUUAGGUACCGUAGCACUUUUCGUUUGUAUUUGUUAAUUAUUGUUAAAUUAUGAACUAAUUAGGCUUUAAAAGAUUCAUCUCGUAAAUUACAGUUAAACUGUGUAAUUAGUUUUUAUUUACGUUUAUAUUUUGUACUCCGCAAGAUUCGAUGUGAUGAAUAAUCUUGAAUUUUUUUAUAACUAAAUAAGGCCUAAAACAAAAGGUGCUGAAUAUGACAGGCCAGCUGCUCGGGCUACACGUGGCACGGCCAAACGAAUUAGUUCUAAAAAUAAAAUUCUGAAAAUAUUAUUUUUAGAUUUUUUUUAAAAGAGCUAGAAAUAAAAUGCAAAAAUUGCAGGGACAGUGAAUGCGAUCGGCAGGCUGGUACGUUCUGUAAACUGAACAAUAUAACAAUUGUUUGCUUAAACUUAUCCGUCGUAUUUUUUAAAGAAAAAAUAGUAGUGUUUUUUCUCACCAUAAAUCACUAUCAGCCAAAUUUUAACGAGCUGAACGGGAAAUCUUGCUAGUCGUUCUAGAGCUUAGCAGCCAAAAGCGUAAAAUAUGAUCAUGUUUAGACAUUCACGUUAUUGAUUCGAACGUUAUUGAUUCGAGAACAUUUACAUUCUCAUAUAUUAUAAAUAUUGUCUCAAGAUUUUGUUUUUAUUUUAUUCCCUUUUUCUUCCGAAAACAUGGUUGCCAAGCUCUGGAGACAGUUUAGGAUGACUUUGGUUGGGUUUUUAGGAGCUGACUUUGCUUUCAAAAAUCCAAAAAGACUAAGGCCCUGUUUAGUUCCCUAUCCAAAAUUUUUUUAUCCAUCCCAUCGAAUCUUUGGACACAUGCAUGGAACAUUAAAUGUACAUAAAAAAUAAACUAAUUACACAGUUUAGUUAAGAAUCACGAGACGAAUCUUUUAAGCCUAGUUACUCCAUGAUUAGCCUUAAGUGCUACAGUAACCCACAUAUGCUAAUGACAGAUUAAUUAUGCUUAAUAAAUUUGUCUUGCAGUUUCCUGACGAGCUAUGUAAUUUGUUUUUUUAUUAGUUUCUAAAAACCUCUCCCGACAUCCUUCCGACAUAUCCGAUGUGACACCCAAAAAAUUUUCGUUCCCAAUCUAAACAGGCCCUAACCAAAAGAGUAGGAACUAGAACCUGCUUUUUCAGAAGUAGCUGUUUUUGGAUACUACAGUUAUGAAAGCACAUGAAUCCUGCUUUUUUGUGCUUUCUGCUCUUGGAAUGGUGAAAAUAGAGAGUUGUGCAGUUGUUUCAAAGAAGAGAGAGACAUGAGGUAGAUUUUAUACUUGUUUCGCACAAAAAACUGCACAACUAUUUUGGAUUUUGGCCUCAUGUCUCCCUCAAGAGCUCCCCCCCCCCCCCCCAAAAAAAACCACAAAUGGAUUCAUGUGCUUUCAUAACUAGUAAUGGUGAUAAUAACAAGAAAAUUGUUGGAAUGGUGAAAAUAGAGAGUUGCCUCAAGAGCUCCCUCCCUCCCCCCCCCCCCCCCCAAAAAAAAAAAACCACAAGUGGCCUUCAUGAAGACAAUAACUUCUGCAUUUUUAGUUAAACUAAACAUAAUUCUGAAAAUUUUGUAUUUUAUUAUUCCAAAAUAGUUGACAUUUUGUAUUUUGCAUUUUUCUAGAAUUAAACACCCCCUGACCGUGUCCGUGUUCCACGUUCGCUUUUUGCCGAAAAUGCACAUAUGGACGGACAGCCAGCCUGGCUGCCUGGCUGGGCCCUGCCGCGGUGCCAGGUGUGAACGGUGCAGGCCGAUACCACCGCGUGCCGUGUGGCUAGUCCAUAACGACCUCUAUCUUCAAACGGAUUGCUCAGGCAAGGCGUUUUCAUGGUAUUAUUAUAAACGGUAAUGCUCUGUGCAAGGCGUUUUCUAGGCCUAUCGCCUAUGGACCAAUCCGUUUAAUAAGCGAUCAUAUAGACCAAAUAAACACUAAUACGAUGUGUCCAAUUGUUUACUGUUUAGCGUGUAUUUUGAUUCACACUGAUGUGUGUUUCACUGUCUCUAUAUAUAUUUGUUUCCACGAUCGGGCCAUUCACCCCAUCUGAAGAGUUACAGUAGUCUGAUAGGCUAAGAAAUGAGCUGACGAACUUUUAUUCUUAACCAAGAAAAAAAACAUACAAAUUCCAAAAAAAAAAGAAAAAAAACAUACAUGACAAUAUUAUUCAGGCGUGGCUCCUGUUCUCAACCCUACAGAUUAUGGUAACAGAUAACAAUCCUCAUCUCCACCCACAACCCUGAAACUGACGAAACCAACGAAGAAACACAUUGCACGGCGCAUCAAAACAUUUACAUACCGUCCUACGAAAGAUACAAUCUGCCCAGGCUCAUAUGGAGAUGCUGUUGGGAAUGCCCAUGGCAGUAAGCCCCUCGCCCUUCUCGCCGGUAACGUCCGACGUGUUGGGGUACAGCAGCAUGUACGGCAUUUCCACCGGCCCCUUUCGGUUCUUCAAGGUCGGGUUGUCGUUCAUCGUCUUGAUCCGGUUCUCAAUCUCCACCAGCCGGCUUCCGAAUCUUUUGAACGCAUCCAACGCCUUGGCGUCUGACGUCCAUCGCUCAGGCUCGUCACGCUGGCCGAGGUACACCUCGUCGGAGGAGUGCUUGGAGAGGAUCUCGAUGAGCGAGAUGCCCAGGAUGGUCUGGAACUGGCUGGUGAUGGUGCGGAUGAACACCUUGUCGGCCUCCUUCUGCCCCGCUUCCAACUUCUUGUACUCAUCGCUGCCCGGCUCCGGCAUCGGCCGCCGGCUCACCGUCGGCCGGUUCGGGAGGUACCCGGCGUAUGGAUACUGCCCAAAGUUGACAGCUGCGUGCAGCGCAGAUGCCACCCAGAUGAUGGUCGUGCACGACCUAGCCAGCUGCUGGACGGUGUCCAUCCUGGGCCACCAGUCUCGAUCCUUAAGGUCGCCGUGCGCCUCCUCACGCACCUCCUUCCACCAUGCCUGCAGCUCCACAUCACGCUGGACCUCACCGUCGUUAGAGUAGUAGACAUCCAAGUACUCCUUGACCCACCGCUCAAUCGCCCACCAGAUCACGAGCCCAUCAACGGCAUAUGGAUAGUCCUUGAUCAGUAGUCGGACACCAUAUGGGCUUGACUGAUCCGGUACAGCCACACCUCUGAAAGCACAACCAGAAGAGUAAACCCGUCAGAAUCAAACAGUUUUUAGAAGCUCUUCUGCAUUACCAUCUCGUCAGCUCUACUGCUCAAUGUAGUAUGCACGUACCUCUUGACGAGAUCUGCGGGGAGAGCCUGCUCGUUGAAAUUCCAGCUCUUGUACACGUCGGAGGACAUCUCCAGCGCGUAUUUUCCAGGGAACACGGUGCGCUCGAAGAUGCCACCGGCGUUGAUGAGCGUCUGGCGUGCCAGGGCGUUGAUGUUCAAUGUGUCACGGUAGUGUGGGCUCAGCAGCUUAUGCACAGGAUGCACCACACUGAGCUGCCGG
rnacentral:lncRNA from 1 species